GCGGGAUUUGUAGAACGGGACCUGGCGGCUACUUACAACAACAGACUAUUGCAAGCUAGCAUCGGCACUGCUCUAGAAGUGUUUGUUCAGCGGGUCAGCAGGGGAGAUACAAGCUGCCGUGGAUUGGGGUUUGCACGUGUAUGGAGCCGUGCACUCCGGCGCCAAGAGAGAGUCGCUACUGUUGUUUUGUAUGUUUUGCUAUAUUAUGCUGUUUAAAGAAAAGCACACUGUUAUUUGUGGACACUGUUCCAAAGUAUUUUCUUAAUUUGACCCAUUAAGGCUGUGCUCCAGGAGUGCAGUCGGGGGAAAUAAAGAACCCACAUUAAAGAAAAAUAAAUUUAUCUUAGUGUCCUGUCUCAUCCUUUUAA